rnacentral:rRNA from 1 species
CAGCCGCCGCGGUAAUACCAGCAGCCCAAGUGGUGGUCGCGUUUAUUGGGCCUAAAGCGCUCGUAGCCUGGCCGGUAAGUUCCCCGUGAAAUCGGGUCGCCCAACGAUUCGGCUUGCGGGGAAUACUGUCGGUCUUGGGGCCGGGAGACGCCGAGGGUACUCCGGGGGUAGCGGUGAAAUGCUGUAAUCCUCGGGGGACUACCAGUGGCGAAGGCGCUCGGCGAUAACGGGCCUGACGGUGAGGGGCGAAAGCUGGGGGCGCGAACGGGAUUAGAUACCCCGGUAGUCCCAGCCGUAAAGGAUGCGGGCAAGGUGCUCGUCGCUCUUCGAGGGCGUCGGGUGCCGUAGAGAAGUCGUUAAGCCCGCCGCCUGGGAAGUACGGUCGCAAGGCUGAAACUUAAAGGAAUUGGCGGGGGAGCAC